rnacentral:lncRNA from 1 species
UUGGAUUUUGUCGUGAAUCCGUGGUCGAUCAAGACGAAACGAAAUCGUAGCUUUGUUGUCUCCGUCGUGCUGAUCGCACUGGUGCAAUCCGUUCGCAAAUCUGACGGACGGAUCUGCGGAGAUCGCGCGUUGAUCGAGGAGAGGUCGGUAGUGGCAAAACGGUAUUUUCGCAAAAGUCGCGAUAUUUUAUGUACCGUUUCGCGAGGGAUCGCACGUGGAGGGGCGUUCAUGCGUUUUAGUCGUACUGUGAGGGACUCGGAUUGAAAUUCCGAU